GUAGGGAAUAUUGGACAAUGGGGGAAACCCUGAUCCAGCCAUGCCGCGUGGAGGAAGACUGCCCUCUGGGUUGUAAACUCCUUUUAUAUGGGAAGAACCGUCCUCAUUAAUGAGUGACCUGACGGUACCAUAGGAAUAAGCACCGGCUAACUCCGUGCCAGCAGCCGCGGUAAUACGGAGGGUGCAAGCGUUAUCCGGAUUCACUGGGUUUAAAGGGUGCGUAGGCGGAUAAAUAAGUCAGUGGUGAAAUCAACGGGCUCAACCUGUUAACUGCCAUUGAUACUGUGUAUCUUGAAUAUGAGAGAGGUAGGCGGAAUGUUGCAUGUAGCGGUGAAAUGCUUAGAUAUGCUACGGAACACCGAUUGCGAAGGCAGCUUACUAUUUCGUAAUUGACGCUGAGGCACGAAAGCGUGGGUAGCGAACAGGAUUAGAAACCCCGGUAGUCC
rnacentral:rRNA from 1 species